rnacentral:lncRNA from 1 species
UUUUUUUAUAUAAAGGUAUGAUUAUUAAUUGUGCGUCUUCUACCAUUUGUCUUUUCCAGACCGGGUCAAAAUAGGAGACUGACCAUCGCAGGCCCAGGUGGAGGUAGGGGGCGCGGAAUCAAUUUGCUGAGGUAAGAAUCUGUUCUUGUGUUAGAAAAUGCUUGUAAUAAACGCAUGUUGGAUUUGUUCUUAAUGUAUGUCAAACCCUAUCAGGCGUGGACUGUCAGAUAGUGGUGGAGGACCCCCAGCCAAACAGAGAGACAUCGAAGGGGCACUCUUGAGGCUGGCAGGGGACCAGCGAGCCAGGAGAGAUUCACGCCAUGACAGCGAUGCUGAGGAUGAUGACGAUGUCAAAAAACCAGCGUUGCAGUCAUCUGUGGUUGCUACCUCCAAAGAACGUACACGCCGAGAUCUUAUUCAAGAUCAGACAAUGGAUGAGAGAGGAAAGCAGAGAAACCGGCGCAUGUUUGGCCUGUUGAUGGGAACAUUGCAGAAGUUCAAACAAGAGUCUACAGUGUCCACAGAGCGGUUAAAAAGACGCCAAGAAAUCGAGCAGAAAUUGGAAGUGCAGGCAGAACAGGAGCGUAAAAAAGUUGAGAGUGAAAGGAGAGAGCUCUUUGAAGAAAGACGUGCCAAACAAACAGAGAUGCGUCUUCUGGAGCACAAAGUGGAGCUCGCUCAACUGCAAGAAGAGUGGAAUGCACAUAAUUCUAAGCUCAUCAAGUUCAUUCGAACAAAGACCAAUCUUCUACCCUUCUACCUGCCCGGGCGAAUGUGCUCUGCUACUCAAAAGCUCCUGGAGGAGUCUCAGAAAAAAUUAAAUGGUGUGUUUGAUGAGAGACGUGAAGCCUUUGCAGAGCAACUCAACAAAAUGGAGGCUCGGCCAAGGCGUCAGUCCCAAAGGACAGGUGACAAAGAAAAGGAGGAUAACCGUCGGUCUGAAGAGACGAAGAAAGAAGAUCAAGAGGAGGGUAAGGCUGGAGUAGGGCGGACAGGUAACAGACAUGAUGUGGAGAUGGAGGACGAGGAGGAAGAUCUAGUCGAGGAGGAAGGAGAGGAGAGCUUUGAGAUUAGGGAGAGGGAGGGGGAUCAGGAGCAGGGUGAGGAGAAGGACAAACACGAGGAGAGUGAGAGGAAGGCAGAUGAGGAAGAUGAGGAGGAGGAGGAUAUGGGAGCAAGUGAGGUUAAGGAAGAGGGGGAAGAGCAGAUGGAGGGCACAGAAGUUGAGAGGGAAGAUGAGGCACAGGGUAAGUUGCUGGUUGAGAGUCCAGAAGCCACAGUUGAAGAGGUAGGUAAUGUGCAAAAGGAGCAAGAGCAGGAGACCGAGAACGAGACUCUGCAGGAUGUUGUAACAGACUCUCAGCAAACCCCUGAAAGCCACAUGGAAAUACAGCCUGAGGAAUGUAAACCGCCUCAACUGGACGUCCCGAUCUCUAGUGUAACGGAACAUGACACCAAACAAGAUGAUACGGCGUCUGAUACCCAACAGCUACAGCUUGAAACUGACCCAGAAGUCCUUUCUCAAGCGCAAAACCAAGAACCAUCAGUCCAACCACAAGAAGCCAAAGCGGACACAAAGGAAGCUAGCAAGGAGGCAGAUGACUCACGCGGACGGGCCAAAAUCCAUGCCAAGAGGAGCAAGAGCCAAAGUAGCAGCAGCUCCUCUUCCAGUUCCUCUUCAAGCUCCUCCUCCAGUGGAUCCAGCUCCUCUUCCAGUGGCUCCAGUAGUAAGAGCAGUUCAUCUGGCUCCUCAUCAUCUUCCAGUUCACGCUCCCGUAGUCAUGGCAGGGAUAGAGACGGCCGAGACCACAAGCGCCGCAGGAGACCAUCGGACAGGGAGCACAGAAAGAGUGGCAGUGAGAGGGGACACAAGUCCUCAAAAGGCAGUGGACGAGAAAACAAGAGCUCCAAAGACAAGAACUCCAAACCUGACAGGAAGAGGACGAGUUCAGAAGGAAGCCGGUCAGGAAAGAGGUCCUCCAGAAGCGAGAGAGAUCGGAAGUCUGAUCGAAAGGAUCGACGUUGA